rnacentral:rRNA from 1 species
GACGAACGCUGGCGGCGUGCUUAACACAUGCAAGUCGAACGAAGUGGCGAACGGGUGAGUAACGCGUAAUCAACCUGCCCUUCAGAGGGGGACAACAGUUGGAAACGACUGCUAAUACCGCAUACUGAAGGACGGGAUUGCGUCUGAUUGGCUAGUUGGGGGGGUAACGGCCCACCAAGGCGAUGAUCAGUAAGCGGGCUGGGAGGAUGAACGGCCACAUUGGGACUGAGACACGGCCCAGACUCCCUCGGGAGGCAGGAAGGGGGAAUCUUUCGCAAUGGACGAAAGUCUGACGGCGCAACGCCGCGUUAGUGAUUACGGCCUUCGGGUUGUAAAGCUCUGUUUAGCGGGACGCGGUACCGGAAGAGAAAGCCACGGCUAACUACGUGCCAGCAGCCGCGGUAAUAC